rnacentral:rRNA from 1 species
GAUUAAUGCUGGCGGCGUGCAUAACGCAUGCAAGUUGAACGAAGGUUACAAGGAAUUUAUUCUGAGUAAUACUUAGUAGCGGACGGGUGAGUAACGCGUAGAUAAUCUGCCCUAUGCAGGGGGAUAACAAAGGGAAACUUUUGCUAAUAUCGCAUAAGACCACACUAACAAAAGUUAGAGGGGUAAAAACUGAGGUGGCAUAGGAUGAGUCUGCGUCUGAUUAGCUAGUUGGUGAGGUAAAAGCUUACCAAGGCGACGAUCAGUAGCCGGCCUGAGAGGGUGAACGGCCACACUGGGACUGAGACACGGCCCAGACUCCUACGGGAGGCAGCAGUGGGGAAUAUUGCACAAUGGGGGGAAACCCUGAUGCAGCGACGCCGCGUGAAGGAAGAAGGUUUUCGGAUCGUAAACUUCUAUCGAUGGGGAAGAAAAAAUGACGGUACCCAAGUAAGAAGCCCCGGCUAACUACGUG